rnacentral:lncRNA from 1 species
UUUCUUCAUGAUCUCUCCAACUGAUCAGCAGGUCCACUGUUGGGCCUGGCUUCACAAGUACUUGCCGAAAGACAGCAACUUGCUGCUGGAAGACGUCACCUGGAAGUACACAGGUGAGCCUUCCCUGGGUGGGCGGCCCGGGAGAGCAGCAGGUGCAGACGAGCUUCUGCUAUGUGUCCCUUACUGAUCUUUGACUUUACAAGUGAGCAUCAGAUUAGUGUUAACGAGACACACUGGGGUGGGGCUGCAGAGAUGGCUCAGUCGAUAAGAGCACUGACUGCUCUUCCAGAGGUCCUGAGUAUCUGCAUACAUCCAUAAAUGCAAAACACCCCUGCACAUAAAACAAAAAUACAAACAUCAUUGGUACUGGAGAGAUGGCUCAGUUAAGAGAACCGGCUGUUCUUGUAGAGCACUCUGGUUCACUUCCUACCAUCCUCAUGGCAGCUCAUAUCCAGUGGACUCUUGUAGUUUCCACGGAUACUCCAUAAUGUGGGGCACAGAUGAAUGUGAAACAUCCAUGAGCAUGUAACAAAUCAGCAGAUCUUUAACCCUUAGCUACCUGUAAUGGCGCAUAUCUUCAGUCAUAACAUCCAGGAGGCAGAAGGAGGUGGAUCUUCCUGAGUCUGGUCUACAUGACAAGUCGUAGGACAGCCAGAGCUGACCCAUAAAAACAAACUGUAGGGGCUGGGGAUUUAGCUCAGGGGUAGAGCGCUUGCCUAGGAAGCACAAGGCCCUGGGUUCAGUCCCCAGCUCCGAAAAAAAGAACCAAAAAAACAAAAAAAA